rnacentral:lncRNA from 1 species
GCAUGUGCUAUGGGCACUUGGAUAGGCAAGAUGGAUGGAUGGCCAGGGAGUGCAGAUGUUGCUGAAGUGGGCAUCCUAGAACCCUCCAGAAAUCCAGCCAUGCCUCCAGCUGCCUGGACACUUAGAGCUUCUGGUACCCAGCUGGGUCUUUCUCCGUUUAGGUUCCCUGGCAAUCUCAACCACUCUCCACAUGGCACGGUAUAGUGACCUUGGGCCAUCCCAUUUCCCUCUUCCAACUGCCACGCCAUUUGUCAACAUCCUCGCUCAGCCGUUGCUCCUGGAAUGAAAUGCAAGGCUCCAGAUGUGGACCAGCAACUGCCAAGCUUGGAGGAAGCUACCACCUCCCCUGUCCUGCACUUUGAUUAAUUUAGCCCGAGAUUGCACCCUCACACCCUGCCUUGGCAGCUCCCCACAUGGCUGGCUCACAGGGCAUUUUGUCUGCUAAUCCAUCUAACCCCAUUACUGUCUACCCCACAAGUCUCCAUCUUGUCCGAGAGGAGAACGCCAUAGUCUUUACAA